rnacentral:pre_miRNA from 1 species
UUACCACUCCCUCGGUCGAGAAAUAUUUGUUGGAGAAAUGGUUAUAUCUAGACAUAUUGUAGUUUUAGAUACAUCUGUUUUUAUCCAUUUAUGUCACAAGUAAUUCUGGACGGAGGGAGUAUUUG